rnacentral:misc_RNA from 1 species
GAUGAAGAACGUAGCGAAAUGCGAUACUUGGUGUGAAUUGCAGAAUCCCGUGAACCAUCGAGUCUUUGAACGCAAGUUGCGCCCGAAGCCAUUAGGCCGAGGGCACGCCUGCCUGGGCGUCACACGUCGUUGCCCCCCCAUCUACUCCUUCGGGAUUGCGGGGGGCGGAUGAUGGCCUCUCGUGCGCCUCGUCGCGCGGUUGGCCUAAAUGCCAAGUCCUCGGCGACGCGCGCCACGACAAUCGGUGGUUGCGAAACCUCGGUUGCCUGUCGUGUGCGGUCGUCGCGCAUCGAGGGCUCGAAAAAAUUGCCGGGCUUCGGCUCGACUUUCAACGCGACCCCAGGUCAGGCGGGGUUACCCGCUGAAUUUAAGCAUAUCAAUAAGCGGAGGA